UUUGUUUUUUACAUUAUACACAAAUAUAAGAAAAAUAUGACUAAAAUUAUUAAGUAUAUUUAUUUUAUGAUCCUAUUUCUUUCCUCAUUUCUUGUUGCCUUUGAUUUUCCUCCAUUUCAUUUUCCAUGUUCCUCUGACUCUAUUUGCCAUUGGAUUACUUGUCCUCCCCAUAGAGAAGCUAAGGUGUGUGAGUUUGGAACGUGUUGCUGUGCUGACAGGAAUUUUCUGCAUGAUAACAAAAAUUUAGAGAAAUGAUACACGUACACUUAUUUUUGCAUAUUUAUGUUUUACUUGGUUGGUUAAUCAAGUAUAGAAAUAUAGCUAAUUCUAUUGAAUAGAUUAUUAAUUUAAUUUAUAUUUAAAAUUAUAAUUUAUCAAUUAUACAAAAUAGUUAUAUUUUAAAGUUGAAUUGAAUUAAUCAUCUAUUAAAUUAAUAAAUUUUUUAUACAUAAUUAUAAUUAAUCAAUACUUGGCCAGUAAAAAAAAGAGUC